rnacentral:rRNA from 1 species
GAUGAACGCUGGCGGCGUGCCUAAUACAUGCAAGUCGAGCGAACGGACGAGGAGCUUGCUGCUCUGAUGUUAGCGGCGGACGGGUGAGUAACACGUGGAUAACCUACCUAUAAGACUGGGAUAACUUCGGGAAACCGGAGCUAAUACCGGAUAAUAUUUUGAAUCGCAUGGUUCAAAAGUGAACUACGGUGUUGCUGUCACUUAUAGAUGGAUCCCCGCUGCAUUAGCUAGUUGGUAAGGUAACGGCUUACCAAGGCAACGAUGCAUAGCCGACCUAAGAUGGUGAUCGGCCACAUUGGAACUGAGCCUGGGUCCUGAGUCCUACGGGAGGAAGCAGUAGGGAAUCUACCGCAACGGGCGAAAGCCGGACGGAGCAACGGCGCGUGAGUGAUGAAGGUAUUAGGAUCGUAAAACUGUGUUAUUAGGGAAGAACAGAUGUGUUAGUAACUGUGAACAUCUUGACGGUACCUAAUGAGAAAGGCACGGCUAACUACGUG